CUAAUACAUCUACUUUCCUAACCUGGUCAUAAAAAGGCCGCCGUUUUAUAGAACCAAACCAACUAAGGCGACUCUCUCUAAUCUUGUUGGAUAUGCAUUAAAAAAACCAUUUAAAUGUCUUACUUAAAGCUUGGUGAAUAUUGGGGAGUAAAAAUAAUUCUUAAGCAAAUAAGAUUUAAAACCUCAUAUUGACCAGAGCAUGUCAACAAUCUAAACAUAAAUGAAUCAUAUGGACUCUUGUGAAAUGUGAUCAUUAACAUCUUUAAUAAUUAGAGGGAGACUAAUAUAGUGGAGGAUGAUGAUCAAUUGUUGUAUUUGCAAGUGAUAUGGUGACCAUAUUCAUGUGGCUUGCAAACACAGGCACAUCAAGCUCUAGUUCCAUAAGAAGUCUAAAAUUGGUCCCAAAUUCAGAGUACAAACCAGAUUUGAUGGAGAAGCAACAACCAUGGUGGUGAAAGGUAAAGGAAAAGAUAAAGUUGUUGCUGAUUAGAUUUCAAGUACCUCAAUAUUAUGUGUUAUUUCUAUAUUUGUUAGUAAGGAUUAUCUAAGGGUAUGUAAACACUCAUUUGAAGUAUUUUGUUUGGAUGUUCCUUAGUGGCUCUGUAACUAUGUUGUGGAAGUUUAAAAAAGUGAAGUACUUCAGUUAAUGUAUCAAUGAAGGUUUAUGAGAUAUGUCGUAUAGUUA